UAUCUCUGUAGAGUCUGCAUAUCAAUAAGCGGAGGAAAAGAAACUAACAAGGAUUCCCUUAGUAACGGCGAGUGAAGCGGGAAGAGCUCAAAUUUGAAAUCUUCAAGGUUCUACCUUGACGAAUUGUAGUUUAAAGAAGUGUUUUCUGUUAGAUGAGUAGCAAAAGUUCCUUGGAAUGGGACAUCAUAGAGGGUGAGAAUCCCGUAAUUUGGUUAUUCAUUCUAGCUCUGUGAUACACUUUCAAAGAGUCGGAUUGUUUGGGAAUGCAGUCCAAAAUGGGUGGUAAAUUUCAUCUAAAGCUAAAUAUUGGCGAGAGACCGAUAGCGAACAAGUACCGUGAGGGAAAGAUGAAAAGAACUUUGAAAAGAGAGUUAAACAGUACGUGAAAUUGUCAAAAGGGAAGCGUUUGACACCAGUGUUGUUUUUCCGAAAAUCAAUUAAAAAUUGAUUCAUGCCAGGUUGUAUUGACCUUAUCAGCUUGCAAUUUGGUUUUGGGUCUCUUUUUGAUGCACUUUUCGGUUAACAAGUCAACAUCAAUUUCCUUUGCUGUAAAAAGGUAAGAGGAAGGUGGCUUCAAUUUCGGUUGAAGUGUUUAUAGCCUCUUAUCUCUGCAGUCGGGGAGAUUGAGGUCUGCAGCGUAGAUCCUUCGGGGCUAGAUACAUUUAUGCUAAGUUAGUAGCUUUUCAUAGACAACUUGUUGACUAUGUUUAGUCAUGUAGCUUACUCGUAAGUGCUAUUUUACCUACGCUUAGGAUGUUGAAGACUCUACAGAGAUA
rnacentral:rRNA from 1 species